rfam:Triticum aestivum genome assembly, contig: Triticum_aestivum_CS42_TGACv1_scaffold_577013_7BL
UAUAUACUCCCUCCGUUCGGAAUUACUCAUCGAAGAAAUGAAUGUAUCUAGAUGUAUUUUAGUUGUAGAUACAUCCAUUUUGUGACAAGUAAUUCCGAACGGAGGGAGUAACAU